rnacentral:rRNA from 1 species
GAUGAACGCUGGCGGCGUGCCUAAUACAUGCAAGUAGAACGCUGAAGGAGGAGCUUGCUCUUCUGGAUGAGUUGCGAACGGGUGAGUAACGCGUAGGUAACCUGCCUGGUAGCGGGGGAUAACUAUUGGAAACGAUAGCUAAUACCGCAUGACAACAGUUAUUGCAUGAUAACUGUUUAAAAGGGGCAACUGCUCCACUACCAGAUGGACCUGCGUUGUAUUAGCUAGUUGGUGAGGUAACGGCUCACCAAGGCGACGAUACAUAGCCGACCUGAGAGGGGGAUCGGCCACACUGGGACUGGGACACGGCCCAGAACCCUUCGGGAGGCAGCCGUAGGGAAUCUUUGGGCAUGGACGGAAGUCUGAACGAGGAACGCCGCGUGAGUGAAGGAGGUUUUCGGGUCGUAAAGGUCUGUUGUAAGAGAAGAACGAGUGUGAGAGUGGAAAGUUCACACUGUGACGGUAUCUUACCAGAAAGGGACGGCUAACUACGUG